AGGGUAUCACCAGGAGUGGAGCCUGCGACUUAAUUCGACUCAACACGGGAAAACUCACCCGGCCCGGACACUUGUAGGAUUGACAGAUUAAGAGCUCUUUCUUGAUUAAGUGGGUGGUGGUGCAUGGCCGAUUAAGCUUAUGGUGUGAACUUGGAAUGAGCUAGACUCGUACCUCUAAAUAGAAUCCUGAAACUGGAAAACAGUAUUCUUCUUAAAGGGAUCAGCGGUAUGUCCUAGCCGCAUGAAAACGAGCUAAAUCAGGUCUGUGAUGCCCUUAGAUGUCCGGGGCAGCACGCGCGCUACACUGAAGUGAUCAGCGUGCUUUUUCAACCUACUCUGUCAAGAGUGGGGAACCCAAUGAACCUUCUUCGUGAUUGGGAUAGGGGAUUGUAAUUAUUCCCCUUGAACGAGGAAUUCCCAGUAAGCGCGAGUCAUAAGCUCGCGUUGAUUACGUCCCUGCCCUUUGUACACACCGCCCGUCGCUACUACCGAUUGAAUGUUUUAGUGAGGUCUUCGGAC
rnacentral:rRNA from 1 species